UUUAAUUGAAGAGUUUGAUCAUGGCUCAGAUUGAACGCUGGCGGCAGGCCUAACACAUGCAAGUCGGGCGGUAACAGGGAGAAGCUUGCUUCUCCGCUGACGAGCGGCGGACGGGUGAGUAAUGUAUGGGGAUCUGCCUGAUGGCGGGGGAUAACUACUGGAAACGGUAGCUAAUACCGCAUAAUGUCUUCGGACCAAAGCGGGGGACCUCCG
rnacentral:rRNA from 1 species